rnacentral:sRNA from 1 species
UACCGUUGGAAUGUGCGUUUCGUUGC